UACGGAGGGUGCGAGCGUUGUCCGGAAUCACUGGGCGUAAAGGGCGCGUAGGCGGCCUGGUAAGUAGGGGGUGAAAUCCUGCGGCUUAACCGCAGGGCUGCCUUCUAAACUGUCAGGCUCGAGCACGGUAGAGGCAGAUGGAAUUCCCGGUGUAGCGGUGGAAUGCGUAGAGAUCGGGAAGAACAUCAGUGGCGAAGGCGGUCUGCUGGGCCGACACUGACACUGAGAGACGAAAGCUAGGGGAGCAAAUGGG
rnacentral:rRNA from 1 species